rnacentral:rRNA from 1 species
UACAGAGGGUGCGAGCGUUGUCCGGAAUCAUUGGGCGUAAAGAGCGUGUAGGCGGCUAGAUAGGUCCGUUGUGAAAACUCGAGGCUCAACCUCGAGACGUCGAUGGAAACCAUCUGGCUAGAGUCCGGAAGAGGAGAGUGGAAUUCCUGGUGUAGCGGUGAAAUGCGCAGAUAUCAGGAAGAACACCCGUGGCGAAGGCGGCUCUCUGGUACGUGACUGACGCUGAGACGCGAAAGCGUGGGGAGCAAACAGG